AUCUAUUUUGAGUUUGUGUAAGGCACAGGACAGCUGGAGUGCAACAUGUAUGGAGGUUCAAUUUUUCAAUAGCUUAGUAAUAAAUCAGUUACUCAUUCAGUAGAUUAGAAAUGCUUUUGUAGAUUUAAAGUCUAUAACUAUGUAGACUGGAAUAUUGGUUGCUAUAAUCUGUUUGGUACCAGCCCUUGCCUGAAACAAUGAACAUUUGGGGCAUUUUUCCUACAAAUAAAGGAGGCCGGCCAGUCGCCAUAUGACUUGACAACCAACUAAACAAUUGUUUCUAGUUUAGCUAAGGGUUUGUUUAAGAUAUGGUCAAUGUUAACAUUUUUAGAUUGGAAUGUUGUUUUGUUAACCCAGUGACUUUUCAGUAAACCUAUAGACCAUGGAGUCUGAAUGGCUUAAGUGGCAUUAAAUGUGAUGAUGGAUAGAUGUCAGGAAAUGGAUGGUAAAAGCACACCUGUGACAGAGUAAUGAAGUACUUGACAUGCAUGGUGGAAGUUGAUCGAGACUAUCAAUUCUUCGAGAGGUCCAGCGACUUUAUACUCGCAAGAAGGAUAUGGUAUGGAAUAGCUUUCUACACGUCUGGGCUGGCAGAUUUGUAAGAUUGGAAGUUGUUUCAGUGUGGAGAGAGAUGAACACUUUGUAUGGUCAGGUAAAAUUUGCUUUUGAAGUCAAAAGUAAGUCUUGAUAAAGGCAUUGCCAUUUCUAGUUGUUUAACUAGCUAUGUACUGGAAAGUUGGUGGUUCUACUCUUAUUAGGUGUCUGUCUUUGUCCGAGACAAUGCCAUUAAGGCACAUUUUCCUCUACCUUUAAAGCUGGACAGUCACGCAAAAAUAAAACUUAGAAUUGUAUCUGUUUAAUGGAAAUAUUGUAUAGGUUAUACUGUUACUUUUUGAGAUUGCAAUGUUGUUCUGUUAACCCCAGAGAUAUUUCAGAAAAUCCUUGCAACAUGUUGGCUAGAUUUCUAGAUUGAUGUUGGAAGUUGUGUUUGAUGGAUUUAUGUUGGAAUGUGGAUGGUUUUGUGACAUUGGUGAAGAUUUGUCAGAUUUGGAGUUGCCCCAGUGCGGAGAGAGAUGGACACAGUGUAUCGAUAAAAAAAACUACUCAAGGAUGUCACAGGAGAUCUGAUGGUUCAUCGGAAAAUGGUGUAGUGUGUGUGUAUGUUAAUCUGACGGGAUAAUGAUUACAUUAUAUAUUGUUAAAUGGUGAGUACUAGAUGAUAUUUUCCAUCAAGUUAUCAAGACGGUAAGAAUUGCAGUGAUUUUAGUCACUCAGCAGUGUGAAAGACGAGGCAAGUACAGAACAGAGAGAUCUGACCACGGUUAUUGAAGUGAAUGUAAUAUGUCAGCAAGGAAAAGCUGUGAAUUUAUUUGAUUCUCUUAAGAAAGACAAGUUUAUUAUGUAAGCAAUAUUAAAAAAAAAUCAUUUUGCCCAACAAUAUUGAACAUGUUUUUUUAUAACAAAUUUUGUUGUGUAUCAACAUACACACCAAAAUCAUUUCAUUUGAAAUUGCAUAUAAAUAAAUUUGACCCACAAAUGUUCAUGACCAUGUUUAUUCUGUUGACACCAAGUCCGUCUGCUUGUCUAGCUCAUUAGGGAGAGCAUCAUUUUCGUAAUCCUCACUAGGAGCCGCUGGUUCCAUCCUAUGGCAUGGCAUAAUUUCACCAUGGCAAUAGAUGUUAUCCGGAACUCGGCAAAUGUGAGUUUUUCUAAGCUUAAAUCUACCGGUACAAACUAUUAAGGUUAUUUCUUUACGGUGCACUACUGGUCACGAUUGUCAACCUAUUGCACCUAUUUUCAAAGUUGUAACUGUAAAAGUUUGUUUAAGCUGGGAAAAAACAAAAAUAUUCUUUUAUUCCGUAGUAAGUCUGUUGAUCUCAGAUAUUGUGUCGAUUGGUCAUUUAAUUGUCUCUCACUGUUGAUUCUGAAAUCAUUUUAAGUCCCCUACCAGUUUAUCGGAGGGGACUUUAGGUUUACCCUCCGUCUGUCUGUCUGUCUGUCCGUCUGUCUGUCUGUCCGUCUGUCUGUCUGUCUGUCAGUCCGUCAGUCUGUCCGUCCACAAAACUGGAUCCCUCGAUAACUUGAAAAGUACUGAAAAUAUUUUUAUGAAACUUGAUAUAUGGAUGGAUGGCAGUAUGGAGAUUAUGAACGUUUUUUUCUUUUCUUCCUAUGUUGAAAAUUCUGGUUGCUAUGGCAACAAAUAGGCUUAAAAUAUGGCAAAUUUUACACAUAAACUGGAUCCAGUGAUAACACAAAAAGUACUGGAAAUAUUUUUAUGAAACUUGAAAUAUGGGUAGAUGGCAGUCUGGAGAUUAUGCACGUCUUUUUCUUUUCUUCCUAUGUUGAAAAUUCUGGUUGCUAUGGCAACAAAUAGACUGAAAAUAUGGCAAAUUUUACACAUAAACUGGAUCCUGUGUUAACGCAAAAAGUAAUAGAAAUAUUUUUAUGAAACUUGUAAUAUGGGUAGAUGGCAGUCUUGAGAUUAUGCAUGUCUUAUCUGUUCUCCCUAUUUUGAAAAAAUAUUGGUUGCCUUGGCAACAAAUAGGCUUAAAACAUGGCAAAUAUAACAUUGUUUGUGAUAAGUCAAAAAGAGCUGAAUUUUUUUUUAUGAAAUUGCAUCUUUAAUUCAAGAGUUAUCUCCUCUUUAAGCAUUUUGCUUUUAAAAAUGUUAUAUUUUGGUAACAGGGAUGUUUCAAAUAUUAACUUUAGAGUGUCCUUCAGUCCGUCUGUCUGUCUGUUCAUAAAAACUGUUUCCUGUGAUCACUUUUAAAGAACUUUUCCAACAAAUUUACUUAAAAUAUAGAAAAAUUGAAACAUUAGUGAAUGGCCAUUGGCCCUUCAGAAUGUUGAUGGGGUUCCAACCGGUAGGGGACUUAUGGAUUGCUUGCAAUACUAUGAUAAUUGCUUGUUGAUAUUAGUUAAGUCGGUUCAAUUGUUGAGAAACUGGUUAGUUAUCCAGGAAUACCCAUUAUGGUGUUCAACCUCCAAGAUGUGGCCAUAAACAUGUUUUGGUAGUCUUAACUUAAUGCUUUGCCGCCAAAACAAUUCUAACAUUGGCCAAUAUGGUAGCAAAUCGGUUAUUUACCCAACUAUUUUCUCAGAAUCUUUAGCAAUAGAUUAUAAACAAUCAUCCUUUAUCACUAUGUACUAAAUUCUGGUUAUCAAUGGUUGAACAUUGUUGGAUACCAAAAAAUUUGAAAAAUAACGUUCCUGAAAUGACUGAUUUAUUACGAUAUUGGCUGAUGUUGAAACAAUUUUUGGCAGGAAAGCAUUGCAGUAAGACUACUUAAAGUCAGAGUUAAAUCCAGAAAGAUAAUAAAAAAAUUUACACCCAGUAAGUACUGGUAAGUUCCAGGAAUUUUACUUUAAAUGGUUCAAAUAAGCAAUAUACUUUGUUCACUAUCAACCAUAUAUAAAUGAUGAUUAACCUUAAAGGCACUCCACUGAGGUCCAAUAGCCUUAAAUAAUAAAUUAUGAAAUUCUUUCUUACA